UGGGGAAUAUUGCACAAUGGGCGCAAGCCUGAUGCAGCCAUGCCGCGUGUGUGAAGAAGGCCUUCGGGUUGUAAAGCACUUUCAGCGAGGAGGAAGGUGGUGAACUUAAUACGUUCAUCAAUUGACGUUACUCGCAGAAGAAGCACCGGCUAACUCCGUGCCAGCAGCCGCGGUAAUACGGGAGGGUGCAAGCGUUAAUCGGAAUUACUGGGCGUAAAGCGCACGCAGGCGGUUUGUUAAGUCAGAUGUGAAAUCCCCCGGGCUCAACCUGGGAACUGCAUUUGAAACUGGCAAGCUAGAGUCUCGUAGAGGGGGGUAGAAUUCCAGGUGUAGCGGUGAAAUGCGUAGAGAUCUGGAGGAAUACCGGUGGCGAAGGCGGCCCCCUGGACGAAGACUGACGCUCAGGU
rnacentral:rRNA from 1 species